CCCUUCAAGUCGAACGAUGAACCACUUCGGUGGGGAUUAGUGGCGAACGGGUGAGUAACACGUGGGCAAUAUGCCNUUCACUCUGGGACAAGCCCUGGAAACGGGGUCUAAUACCGGAUAACACUCCUUCUCGCAUGGGAAGGGGUUGAAAGCUCCGGCGGUGAAGGAUGAGCCCGCGGCCUAUCAGCUUGUUGGUGAGGUAGUGGCUCACCAAGGCGACGACGGGUAGCCGGCCUGAGAGGGCGACCGGCCACACUGGGACUGAGACACGGCCCAGACUCCUACGGGAGGCAGCAGUGGGGAAUAUUGCACAAUGGGCGAAAGCCUGAUGCAGCGACGCCGCGUGAGGGAUGACGGCCUUCGGGUNGUAAACCUCUUUCAGCAGGGAAGAAGCGAAAGUGACGGUACCUGCAGAAGAAGCGCCGGCUAACUACGUGCCAGCAGCCGCGGAUAC
rnacentral:rRNA from 1 species